rnacentral:rRNA from 1 species
UACAGAGGGUGCAAGCGUUGUUCGGAAUUAUUGGGCGUAAAGCGCGUGUAGGCGGCAGUGCAAGUCGGGUGUGAAAGCCCUCAGCUCAACUGAGGAAGUGCGCCCGAAACUGCAUUGCUUGAGUACCGGAGAGGAUGGCGGAAUUCCCGAAGUAGAGGUGAAAUUCGUAGAUAUCGGGAGGAACACCGGUGGCGAAGGCGGCUAUCUGGACGGACACUGACGCUGAGACGCGAAAGCGUGGGUAGCAAACAGG